UACGUAGGCAGCGAGCGUUGUUCGGAGUUACUGGGCGUAAAGGGUGUGUAGGCGGUCCUCUAAGUUUGGUGUGAAAUCUCCCGGCUCAACCGGGAGGGUGCGCCGAAAACUGGGGGGCUAGAGUGCGGGAUGGGUAAGUGGAAUUCCUGGUGUAGCGGUGAAAUGCGUAGAUAUCAGGAGGAACACCUGUGGUGUAGACGGCUUACUGGACCGUAACUGACGCUGAGACACGAAAGCGUGGGUAGCAAACAGG
rnacentral:rRNA from 1 species